rnacentral:rRNA from 1 species
UACGUAGGGGGCAAGCGUUGUCCGGAAUCAUUGGGCGUAAAGCGCGUGUAGGCGGUUCGGUAAGUCUGCUGUGAAAGUCCAGGGCUCAACCCUGGGAUGCCGGUGGAUACUGCCGGACUAGAGUUCGGAAGAGGCGAGUGGAAUUCCCGGUGUAGCGGUGAAAUGCGCAGAUAUCGGGAGGAACACCUAUGGCGAAGGCAGCUCGCUGGGACGUUACUGACGCUGAGACGCGAAAGCGUGGGGAGCAAACAGG